GGCUGCCCCAUGUCCACUUUUCUCUCCCCUUUUGGCUCUCAUUUUUUAUUUUUGUUUCUUCUUUUUCUCCCCUCUCUCUCAUGACUCGAAGACAUGGUUGUUUACUUUCUCUCUCAUUCUUUUAAGGGUUUUGCUUUUUUUGAGUGUUGGGUUUUGUAGAAAGCGUGUAGAAGAUCUUUCUUGAUCAGAGUCUUCUGGGAUAGAAGGCGAAGUGAAAGUGAAAUUGAUUUGUUUUUAAUUAAAAA
rnacentral:misc_RNA from 1 species